AAGCGCGCCUAACACAUGCAAGUCGAACGAGAGAGAGGAAGCUUGCUUCCUCAAUCGAGUGGCGAACGGGUGAGUAACGCGUGAGGAACCUGCCUCAAAGAGGGGGACAACAGUUGGAAACGACUGCUAAUACCGCAUAAGCCCACAGCUCGGCAUCGAGCAGAGGGAAAAGGAGCAAUCCGCUUUGAGAUGGCCUCGCGUCCGAUUAGCUAGUUGGUGAGGUAACGGCCCACCAAGGCGACGAUCGGUAGCCGGACUGAGAGGUUGAACGGCCACAUUGGGACUGAGACACGGCCCAGACUCCUACGGGAGGCAGCAGUGGGGAAUAUUGCACAAUGGGGGAAACCCUGAUGCAGCGACGCCGCGUGGAGGAAGAAGGUCUUCGGAUUGUAAACUCCUGUUGUUGAGGAAGAUAAUGACGGUACUCAACAAGGAAGUGACGGCUAACUACGUGCCAGCAGCCGCGGUAAAACGUAGGUCACAAGCGUUGUCCGGAAUUACUGGGUGUAAAGGGAGCGCAGGCGGGAGAACAAGUUGGAAGUGAAAUCCAUGGGCUCAACCCAUGAACUGCUUUCAAAACUGUUUUUCUUGAGUAGUGCAGAGGUAGGCGGAAUUCCCGGUGUAGCGGUGGAAUGCGUAGAUAUCGGGAGGAACACCAGUGGCGAAGGCGGCCUACUGGGCACCAACUGACGCUGAGGCUCGAAAGUGUGGGUAGCAAACAGGAUUAGAUACCCUGGUAGUCCACACCGUAAACGA
rnacentral:rRNA from 1 species